rnacentral:rRNA from 1 species
UACGUAGGGGGCAAGCGUUGUCCGGAUUUAUUGGGCGUAAAGCGCGUGUAGGCGGCUGGGUAGGUCCGCUGUGAAAACUCGAGGCUCAACCUCGAGAGGUCGGUGGAAACCAUCCAGCUAGAGUCCGGAAGAGGAGAAUGGAAUUCCUGGUGUAGCGGUGAAAUGCGCAGAUAUCAGGAAGAACACCCGUGGCGAAGGCGGUUCUCUGGGACGGUACUGACACUGAGGAGCGAAAGCGUGGGGAGCGAUCCGG